AGCUCUAAUAGGCUGAGAAAGCAAUCAUCUACCUGGUUCUAUCUUAUUUAAGCAAGCAAUUUUGGAGGAUUGUAUGAGGCACGCAAAGGAUGAGUUAAAGAGAGAUGUUCUUGGGUGUUAAGGAAAUGGUUGAAUGGAGCAUUGUCUCUAUUGUUCCAACUGGUGCCAUUGUUUGAUGGGAGAAAGCCCAGGGACAUGAAAAGAAAGAAGUCCACUGCCUUGAUCGUCUGAGCAAGUCAGAAGACACCUGGGGACUAGAUGGUGAAAUAAACACACUCCUUAGUGUUGGUCUCAAUCAGCGAGCGCUGGAAAGGACACCCAGGAGACUAAGAUACUCGGUGGUGCACAUAGAGGUAGCUCCCUACUGCCUCCUUGAUCGUCACGGAAGCACACCAGAAGUUUUGUCUUAGCAGCCCACGCAGAGUGAAGAAUCCUCCAGUGCAGCAGAAAACGGAGACAGCCACAGCUCUGUGGAAGGCAUUGGGCAAUCAGCAGGGGAGGGCACCAGCCAUAUUGGAGAUUUGGCAGCUUCAGCAAAGCACAACAUGAGCACAGCUUGACUUCAGACGACAUUGAUAAAAGAUGUCAUCAGAGGCAGCAUCAGUGAAACUGCACAUUCACCAGACUUCACAGAGAUUGGAAGCUU
ensembl:lncRNA